rnacentral:pre_miRNA from 1 species
CCACAACUUAAAUGUGGAAUGUACUUGCUUGAACCUGAAUAGUAAGUGCUUCCAUGUUUUAGUGGUGG